rnacentral:rRNA from 1 species
UACGGGGGGGGCAAGCGUUGUUCGGAAUUACUGGGCGUAAAGCGCGCGUAGGCGGCUUUUCAAGUCAGGCGUGAAAGCCCCAGGCUUAACCUGGGAACUGCGUUUGAUACUGUUAAGCUAGAGUGUGGAAGGAGCUACUGGAAUUCCGGGUGUAGCGGUGGAAUGCGUAGAGAUCCGGAAGAACACCGGAGGCGAAGGCGGGAUCCUGGGCCAGUACUGACGCUGAGGAGCGAAAGCGUGGGGAGCAAACAGG